rnacentral:tRNA from 1 species
AUUAGCUCAGUUGGUUAGAGCAACUGACUCAUAAUCAGUGGGUCGUCGGAUCAUGCCCGGCAGGGACCA